rnacentral:rRNA from 1 species
GACGAACGCUGGCGGCGUGCUUAACACAUGCAAGUCGAACGGUGAAGGGACCAGCUUGCUGGUUCUGGGUGAGGGGCGAACGGGUGAGUAACACGUGAGUAACCUGCCCCCUUCUUCUGGAUAACCGCAUGAAAGGGUGUCUAAUACGGGAUAUUCUGGUGCUGUCGCAUGGCGGGCGCGGGGAAGAUAUUGCUUCGGUUGGGGAUGGGCUCGCGGCCUAUCAGCUUGUUGGUGUGGAGAUGGCCUACGAAGGCGGGGACGCGUAGGCGGCCUGUGAGCGGGGGCGGUGACAGUGGGACUGAGACACGGCGCAGACUCCUACGGGAGGCAGCAGUGGGGAAGGUUGCAGAAUGGGAGCAAGCAUGAUGCAGCGAAGCCGCGUGAGGGAUGGAGGCCUUCGGGUUGUAAGCCUCUUGCGCGAGUGAAGCAGGCCUGCUCCAUGUGGGUGGGUUGACGGUAGCUGGAUAAGAAGCGCCGGCUAACUACGUG